rnacentral:rRNA from 1 species
GAUGAACGCUGGCGGCGUGCCUAAUACAUGCAAGUCGAGCGAACAGACGCGGCGCUUGCUCCUCUGACGUUUGCCGAGGACGUGUGUGUAACACGUGGAUCACCUCCCUAUCAGACUGGGAUCAUCUCGGAAAACCGGCGCAAAUCCCGUAGGAUCUAUUGCACCGCAUGGUUCAAUAGAAAAAGACGGUGUUGGUGUCACUUAUAGCGGGAUCCGCGCCGCUUUAGCUAGUAGGUACGGUAACGGCUUAUCAAGGGAACCAUGCGUGACCGACCUGAGAGGCGGAUCGGCCACACGGGAACUGAGACACGCUCAAGACGCCUGAGGGAGGCAGCAAUAGGGAAUCGGCCGCAGUGGGCGAAAGCCUUACGGAGCGAGGCCGCGUGAGUGAUGAAGGUCUUGGGAGCGUAAAACUCUGUUAUGAGGGGAGAACAAAUUUGUAAGUAAAUAUGCACGGCGUGACGGUACCUAAUCAGAAAGCCACGGCUAACUACGUG